rnacentral:sRNA from 1 species
GUCAAGUAGAUUUGUGGAAAUAGUUUUUAGAGCUGGAAUCAGGGGCCUGUGGCAAAAGAACUGAGCGGACUGCCAUCUGGACCCUCUGCCGGAUCAGGUCCUCCUCCCCCUCCACCAGGCCCCCCUCCUCCCCCAGUCUCUACCAGUUCAGGCUCAGAUGAGUCCGCUUCCCGCUCAGCACUGUUCGCGCAGAUUAAUCAGGGGGAGAGCAUUACACAUGCCCUGAAACAUGUAUCUGAUGACAUGAAGACUCACAAGAACCCUGCCCUGAAGGCUCAGAGUGGUCCAGUACGCAGUGGCCCCAAACCAUUCUCUGCACCUAAACCCCAAACCAGCCCAUCCCCCAAACGAGCCACAAAGAAGGAGCCAGCUGUACUUGAACUGGAGGGCAAGAAGUGGAGAGUGGAAAAUCAGGAAAAUGUUUCCAACCUGGUGAUUGAGGACACAGAGCUGAAACAGGUGGCUUACAUAUACAAGUGUGUCAACACGACAUUGCAAAUCAAGGGCAAAAUUAACUCCAUUACAGUAGAUAACUGUAAGAAACUUGGCCUGGUAUUCGAUGACGUGGUGGGCAUUGUGGAGAUAAUCAACAGUAAGGAUGUCAAAGUUCAGGUAAUGGGUAAAGUGCCAACCAUAUCCAUCAACAAAACAGAUGGCUGCCAUGCUUACCUGAGCAAGAAUUCCCUGGAUUGUGAAAUAGUCAGUGCCAAAUCUUCCGAGAUGAACGUCCUCAUUCCUACAGAAGGCGGUGACUUUAAUGAAUUCCCAGUUCCUGAGCAGUUCAAGACCCUAUGGAACGGGCAGAAGUUGGUCACCACAGUGACAGAAAUUGCUGGAUAAGCGAAGUGCCACUGGGUUCUUUGCCCUCCCUUCACACCAUGGGAUAAA